rnacentral:rRNA from 1 species
GACGAACCGUGCGAACGUUGUUCGGAAUCACUGGGCUUAAAGGGCGCGUAGGCGGGCCUUCAAGUCCGGGGUGAAAUCCUCCCGCUUAACGGGAGAAGAGCCUCGGAGACUGAGGGCCUCGAGGAGGGUAGGGGCAAGCGGAACUAUGGGUGGAGCGGUGAAAUGCAUUGAUAUCCAUAGGAACUCCGGUGGCGAAGGCGGCUUGCUGGACCCUUUCUGACGCUGAGGCGCGAAAGCCAGGGGAGCAAACGGG